GAACGCAGCUUCCUGUGGCUGCCUUCGUGGUUUUUUUGCUAUAAAUCGCUAAUCUGCGGAAGAACGCUCAAUAUUUGCACGUGGAUGCUCGCUUGUUGAAGCUGCAAUGCUACACAUUCUUCUUUUAACCGAACGUACUUGGGUCUCAUAUUUGCGGGUUACCCACUCAAGUAAAACAAAAGCAGAUUGAAGCGUACAAGCGUGCUGUCCUGGAAGGUGAUUGCUUCGUGAUACAACUACCCCACCUUUGUACCACUGGAAUACAGGUGCACCUCUAAUGAACAUGCGUCAGAUGUACGCAGUUGCCAUUUUUUGGGGUGUUUGGCUUCAUGUGACUGCAAGCACCACGAAUGUGAGUGAGACGAAGAAAACAACAUCCACGACUUUCGUCGAUGACCAACAUCAACACGUGCAGCCGGUGAUGAACAAGGACGACCAGGUUGAUGCUAGAAAUACACAUUUUAACAAUCAGACAUCUCUGACCAAAUUCAAAAUAAAUUCGAUGAUUGAGGGUCCUAACAAUGACGAGGCCAUGGAAGCAAACUAUGAAUACGUUACCAGCUUUGACGAAGAUGAUAUUACUUCUGAGAAAGGAACAAUGGGUCACAAAAAAGACAAACAACAGGUCACAACUGCAACGAUGAAUGUGGAUAAAUGUCACGGUCCAUGUGGUAAAAAGACGUACGCGAUCGUCAUACUUGUGAUGACCUUCAUAUGCAUUGCAUUCAUGGUGUCGACAAUCAUCUUGGGCUGCAAGGUAGCUCUCUCAGCCGACACGAAAAACGGCGAAGUGCAACGAGAUCAUCUCAUCUGUAUCUCUGCCAUGACCGGAGAGACUCAACCGUUUGCUUUUGACCUUGUUACAGGUGCAGCUCUGCCAGAGCCGAGUGGAUCUAUGCAUCGUAUGAGCUUGAUUAAUACACGUACAUUGGUGUGAGCUUAAGACAGCGGUUGGGGAACAUUUCUUUUUUUUGCUGGGGACCGAAUACACAAAUACUGUAUUCAAGUACCGUUUGGCUGGCCACACAUAAACACACAAUUGAUGGUGUAUAAUAAUGACGUGACACAAAGUGUUUGUGUUUUUUCCACCUUGUACAAAGAGGCCCUUGCUGUGACAGACGCGAUUGAACGUGCUAAAUGUAUGAACAGUGUUUGCCUUGUCGAAAAGAUUACCCCCAAGUCCCAAUUUGAUGCCGCUAAGAUGCUUGCAGUGACGGAUAAAGAUCAUUUGAGGGCUGUUUUAAAAUAGUUGGCCUCGUGUGGUUGUGGACUGUAGCAAAUGAAGCCGUAGGCAGGAGGUUCCCUACUCCUGGCUUAAGACAACUUUAGACAUUUUGGAAAUGGUGUGUAAUGCAGGAAUGUCGCGGUUAAUUUGCAAAUUACUUUAAAUGAUUCCAACAUAAAAUCGAUACUGAAUGUAUUGUGCUCGUUUAUACUGUGCAUGGAAAACAAACCAAUGAUACUGUAAACAUACUUUUUUUUUUACAUUGUAAAGUGUAAAGAAAUAACAUGUUUCUUCAAAAACCUUUGGAUGAACUUGACAUCACACCGGGACGUUUUAAUUCAUGUGAAAAACCAGAGCUUAACUUCUUAUGGAAUCUCUUUAGAGGCACCCCUAACACUCAACUCACCAAGACCCAUCUCCCGAAAUUCCCACCACCAGCAUUGGGCAGGGAGAUGGUAUAGAGGAAGGGGGCAGAGCAAUACUUUCCAGAGUUCAGCCCCGGUCAUCUCUUAUUUCCCAUAUACAGCGAUAAAUGCACAGUUUUUGUUUUGCAACAGCACCCUACUAUUUUCAAAUCACUUUAUGUGUGAUUUGGGGUUAAAAUCUUGAUUUGGAGCUUUCGUGACUGCAGGAAUUACUCUUUGGUUCUUUCGGUAAAGUCACGUAGAAAGAGAAAAUAAUAAAUUAAAUAAUAGCAUACGACGUUUCGAUUGCAACACAAGCAAUCGUCAUCAGGUACAAAUGAAAGAGAAACAAUGCAAUACAACACGUAAUCAACCAGGUAGGAUGUUGACUGUUAUGUUAGCCGACUCUCUGUGUUGUAUUGCAUUGCAUUUCUAAGUUUACUAGGUUUGUAUUCUCUUUCAUUCGUACCUGAUGACGAUUGCUUGUGUUGUAAUCGAAAGUUCGUGUGCUAUUAUUUAAUUCAUUAUUUUCUCUUUCUACGUUACUUUACCGAAAGAACCAACGAGUGAUUUGGGGUUGCUUGUGUUCGGUAUUCGAUCUGGGGGAAAUGUUGUCACCUAAGAGCUGCCCAACGUUGAAGUAAAAAAUUACGCUUUGUUUUCAUCAACAAAUGUGGAUUUUAUUACGCAAUAAAACCAGUUUAAUCUCUAUAUUUUUUUAAGUGUUUAAAUAUUUGUUUAAGGAAAACAUGUUUGUGCUGCAAAUUUGAAAAAAAUAUAUGUAAAAUCAAAACUCUGUUCCACUGUGUUUAAACGAUCCAAUAUCCAAAUCGGUGUUGUUUAUAAGUGAAUUGCUUAUAUUGCUUUAAUUUAUGCAAAUUAUUUUACGUCGAAACACUUCCAUUGAUAGUCCAUUGUCAAGUUAAACAUUUAGUGGUUAUCUUGCUCAUAUGAUCAUUCAUGGUGCUGCUCAUCUCCCGUCUACAGCACUGAGCCCGUGGUGAAACUUCCGCAUUCAUAUCGCAGAUGGCAAGGUUAUUCAUAGGGUAAUCACUGGUGCCUUUCCCACAACAAAGUGGUACUAAUUUUAUCGACCUCGGAAGGAUUGUGGGUUGAGUCAACCUCCAACUUGCAAACCUUCCGACUGCGAGCUGCUCACUCUACCACUGCACUACCUGGCCGCUUUGAUUUAUUGCAGCCUUUUUUUUUUACAAAAACAUCGAUGUACAUUUAAGCUCCGUACAGUAUCAAUAAAGUGUUUGCUUGAAUGUA